AGAAGCUUAGGAUCAACAUAAACCAAAGGCCUUCAAAGCCUUAAAUAGGUUACACCCCCCUAGCCUCUG
rnacentral:tRNA from 1 species